rnacentral:ncRNA from 1 species
UGAAGCUUACAAUAAUAACUUUUGGGACGCUUCGGUGCUCCCCCGGAAUAUCUGGGGUCUCAGCCGAGGAAUCACGAAUCCAAGAGACGUGGCUUCA